GGUCACUGAGAUUUUUACAAUUGCAGAAUGGGUCCCUAUGCUACAUAAAGUACAUAAAAUUGGUCCGUUCCUAAAAUGUCAGCAAUCCUUAAAAAUAAACUUUUUUUCUUUUCUUACAACUUUUUUUUUUUUUUUUUUUUGGGGUAGUCCUGAAUAGCAGACUACUUUCAAGAAUGCAGUCUUUCUAGACCCCGGUCUUUCUUGUUCUAGAGACUGUCUACAUUGUGCACUAGCGAACACUUAAUUGACCUGUAGUGGUCCUUUCAUUUUAACUCUGCAAUGAAAAACAUUAGUUUUGUAGAAACAUUGCGGUCUAAAUGUAUCUCUCGGCCGCUGUCUCUAGAAUAACACCCUUCUGAUGGCAGGAUUGUAUUGGAGGAGCGCUCAGCAUUAGGCUGCACAUUACAAUCAUCUAUGUAAAGCAGUGGAUGAUAUUGCUGACGUCCUCGUAGGCGGAGUGGGCGGCUGCAAGAAAGAACUCCCCGGUCUGGGAAAAGGAAGUCAUUAUUUCACUUUAUUCUACUAGCAAUGAGGGCUGGACAUUUAAUAUGUUUCAGAGGAAAGAAGGAAUACACCUCCCACCACCCAAUUGAAAGGUUCUCGUUAAACGUAAUUUUUGAACAAUUUUUUAAAUUCAAACUAGCAGAGUGGUGGUUUCUUUAAGUUUUGGCAGUUUGGCCUACAGCUUGCACUUCUAAUAAUUCCCAGUUAAGUAAACACACCCUAUUAUUUAAGCUGAAGGGCCAGUGGGGAGACGAAGCGGUUCGUUGCUUUACUUGCUGCAUGGAUACAAAUGCUCUCCUUUGUUGAGCUCUGUUGCUUGUGUUAGAAGAGGGAAGAUGAAAUAUCUGCAUAGCUUGUGCAGUUUACGUAGCAGGAAUUUUAUUCAGCGGUUUCCCUUUGGUUUUGUGUUGAAAAGGUUCCCACACCAGUUACAGAAAUUGACAUUGCAGCCUCAAAUAGAAAAAUGGAUUUUAUCAUAGUAAAUACAAGACACAGUAUCUCUCUUGUCUAUAAUCUGUGUCCUUUUGUUGCUGCCAAGACAAUGAAACAGCAACAGGUAUAGAGGCCAGUACAUUGUGUUCCGUCCACCCCCCCCCCCCUCCACCUAUCCAAACAGCCAUCUUCUAACACCCUCUGUCGUAUUGUCCAUUAUCCGACCAAAUGCUCGCUAUUUCCCAACUGUUCAUUUUCAAAACUGAACAGUCUAUUGAAGGUUUUCAGCUACCUCUAUAGAAACCGCAAAAUCAGGGUCAUUUUAACAAAAAUGUUUUGUUUGCAUUCAUAUUGAUGAAUAAAUCCCAAUGUGUCUGUCCCUUUACUGGCAAACUAUCUUCCUAAGAAGGUGAUGCGCAGUAUCUUAGUAUCUCCUUUAAGAUUUCUAUAACAGCUAACUUUCACAUAGUACACGUGAAUGAGAAUAAAAGAAGCUAAAACCCUGUCUUGGGGUGUGCAUGUUAGAAUGCUUUUGAUUUAUAGAAAUUCUGUAAAAUGAUUUGCUGGCAAAACAAAUUUCUACACACACCAUAUUAUAUGUGCAAACCCUUUUAAGUGAUUUGUUCAAAUAAAAUGAUUGAACGGAUCAGUUCCUGAAAUUUCCUUUUUGGGUAUGGAUUAAAAGGAUUUUGAUUAAGGUAAUUCGGUUUGUUUGUGAACCAAAUCUUGCGAAUCAAUUCUUAACAGGCAUUUUAUUGUGACGAACCUCUGAAAAUACAUUUUUGCAUAUGUUAAUGGAGACCUUCACUUUAAGUGUUAAAGGGAACCACAUUUCAAGCCCUAAUGCUAUAGUGUUCCUUUAAUCCUGAGCCUGUUCGUACCAUUUAACCAUUUGUAUGCAUGCAGUAUGAUUAAGCUUUCUCAGGUAGGAUAUUGUGUCUGCCCCCCUAAUAUUACAAACAAACUGUACCUACUUCACCAACACAGGCUCACAGUACAGGCCAAAAACAGGGAGUUUCAUCAUUUUUAUUUAUUUGUCAUACUUGCUACACCGCUUCUAUACUAAUAUUUUAUACCCUUUAUGCAAGAUAAGGGAUAUUGUAAUCUCUAUUACCAUUAAUACUUUACAAACAGCAGUGUAACGCCACCCCAAACUAGCGUAUUUCAGCAAUGAUAUUUUCCUUAAGUGUUAUUGAGAAUGAGUAGAUCCAAUCCCCUUCACACUAUUUAUUUAUUAAAUCACUUACAAUGGGCAUGGCGUUGAUCAAGCCAACCCCGUAACCAUAACAAAUACUUUAUAAAUACUGGAUUUAUGCAUUUAUACACAUUUCCAUAACACAUAGAGUAGUUAAAAAUAUAUUGUAUAAUAUGUAAUAAAUUAAAUACAUAAAAUAUUUAUAGAAAUGGCUAUAUAAAGGCUAUUUUCUUUCUGAAUAAGGCAGUUGGCAGCAAUGUGAACUGCAAUGCUGUGUGUGGCACGAUCACUGUGUAUCACCUAUAUUCACUAACACAGGACUUGUUGGGAACUCAACGUGAGUUUCACAUUUUAGGCCAAACAGUCAAAUUGGAAACGUAGCUUCUUGAAGAAUUCUUCCAAUUUGGCUAUUGUCUAAAAUAUGAAAUCAGUUUGAAUGCCCAACAAUUCACAGUUAAGCAAGUAACCCUGAACAUGUUACCUUGUGUCGCAGGUAGCUUUUCAUGUUUGUAUCCACUUUAUCAGAAAAGGCAGGUCUUCUGGAAUAAUUGCAAGGCAUUGUUUACAUUGGGCAGGCAAGCAUUGGCACUCCAGACAUUGUGACCUUCAUUAAGGGAGCUGUAAUCUGGACUGUCAAAUAUUGCCUAUCCCUCUACUAGUAAAUAAACACCAUAGUGUUACCCCCCCACGGCAGCACCCAAAGGGUUAAAUAACUCUCACCUUAUUGCACGAUGAAGUCUCUCCACCACCGCCAAGUAGAACCUAAUGCACAUGCAGGGGGAGCACAUUUUUUCCACAAGAGAAAUAAUUGAAUCAAUGAAUUCCUAUUCAGAAGGUACUAGAUGUCUUGUUUGGUAGACAACCAUUAGAGGCAGUCUUAACCCUGCCAUAUAAACAUUGUAAAACUGCAGUGCUUCGGGGACAAGGACCAUACAGCCAGGGACAACUGCAAUGAGAUGAAGUGGUCUGGGUGCCUAUAGUAUUUAACAUUUUAUACACAGAAUUAUAUUAUACUUAUCCUUGCUCCCUAGCCUUCACACUUACAGUGUAUAUAUAAACUGAAUGAAUCUAGUUUCAUGAAUGAAGCUACUGCCAUGUUUUUGGACUAUGUAUCCCAUACGUCGGGGUGUACAGGGAGGGCUAAAGUUAUCUUUGAAAUCCAAGCCAUUUUCCUGUCCCUGGACAAGCUGCACCAAAUUUUAGUUAUUGGGGGUCAUGGAUCACGCAUUUCACCCCAUGAGGGAGGCUUGCGUCUUGGUGACAUUUGGUUAAUAGCUGCAGAAACUGGGGAAAAAAGCUCCAUAUCUAAUUAAAAUUGUAUACUGAUUUAAAAACCAACAACAAACUAACAUGGAGCAAAUCAUAAAUGGUAAAUUGUUCAAUAAUCAGAAAAAAAAGUUAAAAUAUUCACCUUCUCUAAUUUUUGUUAAUUUUUAACAUUAUUAGAUCUUAAACAUUGUGUUUAAUAACCCUUAGUCUUAGGAUACCAAUCUCGAAUCGUGUGCAUUCAAUAUACUAAUAUUUACAGUAAAUUGUACACAAAAUAUGUAGAUCAUUUUUAUCAUGUUUGCAAAUGGUAAUGCUAUGAUAGAUUUUCUGUAAGGGAUCUCUGAAACUGCAUUAAAACGUUUAAUGAGCUAAUUGGAGCAUUAAAUCAGGAUAUAGAUACCUUUUUAUAUGUCCAGGGAUGUAUUAGACCUUCUCUUAAAAACUAGGACUAUUUUUUUUUUUUUUUUUUUUUUAAAGAAUGACUGUCAUAAAUAUUUAACUUCUCAAAAGUUUGUUACAUAAAUGAAACCGUGAUUUAAAAAAAUAAAUAUAAAAAAUAUAUAGUCAACACAUGGUUAAACGCAGAUCUGCACACACCAGUCAAGCCAUACGACUUGCUUUUUCCACAGAAAUCUCAAGUUUGCAGUGAUGUUACUACUGCAAGGGAUUCUGGGUGGCCAUAUGCAAAUAA